CCUACGGAGGCAGCAGUAGGGAAUCUUCCACAAUGGACGAAAGUCUGAUGGAGCAACGCCGCGUGAGUGAUGAAGGUUUUCGGAUCGUAAAACUCUGUUGUAAGGGAAGAACAAGUACGAGAGGUAAUGCUCGUACCUUGACGGUACCUUGCGAGAAAGCCACGGCUAACUACGUGCCAGCAGCCGCGGUAAUACGUAGGUGGCAAGCGUUGUCCGGAAUUAUUGGGCGUAAAGCGCGCGCAGGCGGCCUUUUAAGUCUGAUGUGAAAGCCCCCGGCUCAACCGGGGAGGGUCAUUGGAAACUGGAAGGCUUGAGUACAGAAGAGAAGAGUGGAAUUCCAUGUGUAGCGGUGAAAUGCGUAGAGAUGUGGAGGAACACCAGUGGCGAAGGCGACUCUUUGGUCUGUAACUGACGCUGAGGCGCGAAAGCGUGGGGAGCAAACNGGAUUAGAUACCCUGGUAGUCCACGCCGUAAACGAUGAGUGCUAGGUGUUGGGGGGUUUCCNCCCGUCAGUGCUGAAGCUAACGCAUUAAGCNCNCGCGUCGGGGUACGGGCCGGCGAGCGNGAACGACGAAGAAGUAGUACGGCGUGAGACGUGCCGACGGACGACGACGAGGGAGGAGG
rnacentral:rRNA from 1 species